CUUAGACAAUUCACUUUGAGUACAGGGAAGUCUGCUGGUAGGAAUUCCUCAGGGCGUAUUACGGUUUUUCACCGAGGGGGUGGAUCGAAGCGAUUGCAGCGAAGAAUUGAUCUGAAACGAAGCACUUCGUCUAUAGGCAUUGUAGAAAGGAUAGAAUAUGAGCCUAAUCGUUCUUCUCGAAUCGAGAACAAAGGAAUACAAUUCAAGUUUUGGUAAUCAGGCACCCACCUGGAGAACAAGGGAAUAUAGUUCAUGUUUUGGCAACAAAAGGGCGACCAACCUAUCGGACUGGAGGCUGCCGAGAAUGUUAUGUAAAAAGGACCAAGGAGGAUCCUAUCCUAAAGAAGAAGGAGGAGGAGUAGGAGCUAGAUUUAGGGGCGGAAUCGAAUGAUUACGAGAUAAACAAUGGGGCAAAGGAGAGCACUUAGACAAUUCACUUUGAGUACAGGGAAGUCUGCUGGUAGGAAUUCCUCAAGGUGUA
rnacentral:lncRNA from 1 species